CUGGAUUAACUAAGCGUCACUGUGUUUUGGAGUUUGUGAAGCAACAUUUUGUAUCAGGUGCAGGAGGCGUCGUUUAUUACAAUGAGUUUUCUAUUCUCAUUGUGUGUUUCAAUAUUGCUGUUUGGUAAAAUAAUUGAUGGACAAUCA